rnacentral:rRNA from 1 species
CCCUUAGAUGCUCUGGGCCGCACGCGCGCUACACUGAUUCAUGCAACAAGUUUUGUCCUUGGCUGAUAGGCCUGGGUAAUCUUUGAACGUGAAUCGUGAUGGGGAUAGAUGAUUGCAAUUAUUCAUCUUCAACGAGGAAUUCCUAGUAAACGCAAGUCAUCAGCUUGCAUUGAUUACGUCCCUGCCCUUUGUACACACCGCCCGUCGCACCUACCGAUUGAAUGGUCCGGUGAAAUCUUCGGAUCUGAGAGAUGUCUGAUUAAUUUCGGACGCCUUUUGGAAAAGUUGCUUAAACCUUACCAUUUAGAGGAAGGUGAANUCGUANCA